rnacentral:misc_RNA from 1 species
GAUGAAGAACGCAGCGAAAUGCGAUAAGUAGUGUGAAUUGCAGAAUUCAGUGAAUCAUCGAAUCUUUGAACGCACAUUGCGCCUCCUGGCAUUCCGGGAGGCAUGCCUGUUCGAGCGUCAUUUCACCACUCAAGCCUCGCUUGGUAUUGGGCAACGCGGUCCGCCGCGUGCCUCAAAUCGUCCGGCUGGGUCUUCUGUCCCCUAAGCGUUGUGGAAACUAUUCGCUAAAGGGUGUUCGGGAGGCUACGCCGUAAAACAACCCCAUUUCUAAGGUUGACCUCGGAUCAGGUAGGGAUACCCGCUGAACUUAAGCAUAUCAAUAAGCGGAGGA